rnacentral:lncRNA from 1 species
UAAAUUAUCAUUUACUGCAAUAUACCGAAAAUAAAAUUUUUAACGUUCGACUAAACUCAAUUAUUUCCAUUCUUACUUUUGUUUCAGUUGAUUUUAUUUAUUUUAAUUUUUUUGUUUAUUUUGUUCAUCACUUUAUAACUGUCACUUUGUUUAUUGUUUUCUUUUUUAAUUUAUUUUUAAUUGUUUACUUUGUGUUUAUUUCAUUUUAUUGAUUUUUUAUUGAUUUUUUAUUAAUUUUUUAUUAAUUUUUUAUUAAUUUUUUAUAGAUUUUUUAUUGAUUUUUUAUGGAUUAUAGAAUUUAUAUUUAACUUUAUCAUUUAAUUUAAAAAAUUAAAAAAAAAUAAAAUAAAAUAAACACUUAUGCAAUGUUUACGUAUAAUACAUACGUGUACGUAAAUUUAUGUUAAUACGUAUAUUAUAACUUGAAAUUCUAUUCUAUUUUUUUUUUUAAUUCAAUUAAAAAUAUCAUUCAUUUCGUUCGUUCGUUCAUUUUUUUUUUUUUUUUUUUUUUUUUUUUUUUUUUUUUUUUUUUUUUUUACUCCCUCCUCCCUUAAAGUAUAGUAUCUAUUAUUAAAAUAUACAAAUAAUUUAAAAAAAGUAAAAAAUAAGAUUGUAUUGCAUUAUUGUAAGCGCAGCAUAUAUAUGCAUAUAUAUAUAUAUGUAUAUAUACAUAAAUUAUUACAACAUUUUCCCUUUUUUUUCCCCUUUUUGUUAUUUUUGAAAGAAAAAAAAAAAGAAAUUAACAAAUUUAUCUGUAAAAAGACUUAAAACACAUAGCUAGUAAAAAACUGAAAACGAUUGAAAAAGAUGGAAAAGGAUGGAAAAGGAUGGAAAAAGAUGGAAAAGGAUGGAAAAAGAUUGAAAAAUAUUAAAGGUUGAAUAAGGUGAAUAAAGUGAAUAAAGACAUAUCCCCAAAAGAAGAAAUCAGUUGCUCAUGUUGCACUUGUCGUGCUUAUGUAUACAUACAUAUACAUAUAGUUAUAUUCAUGGCAUUUAAGAAUUUUAUAAACGAUGGAUUGUCGUUUCAAAGAGUUAAUAAAAAUAAGAAAAUAUAUUUUAGAAGAAAAAAUAGUAGAAACAAGUUUACUCAAAAAUAUAGAACAAUAAAUUCAUUAAAUGCCUUGGACGAUGACGUUAAAAAAGUUAUAGCAAAACAGUUGUCUGUUGAUGAAGAUAAAAUAAAAAAUGAAUCAAAUUUUAUAAAAGACUUGGGAGCAGACAGCCUUGAUUCUGUAGAACUAAUUAUGGCCUUAGAAGAAAAAUUUAAUGUGACAAUAUCCGACCAAGACGCUCUUAAAAUUACCUCUGUUCAAGAGGCCAUUGAUUUUAUUGAAAAAAAUCAAAAAAAAGAUACUUAAUAAAAUAAUAAAAUUAGUUUGUUUAACA